GGGGGGGGGGGGGGGGGGGGGGGGCGCGGGGGGGGCGGGCGGGGGGGCCCGGCUGUUGUGGGGUGCUCGGGUGGCGAACGGGUGAGUAACACGUGAGUAACCUGCCCUUGACUUUGGGAUAACUUCAGGAAACUGGGGCUAAUACCGGAUAGGAGCUCCUGCUGCAUGGUGGGGGUUGGAACGUUUCGGCGGUUGGGGAUGGACUCGCGGCUUAUCAGCUUGUUGGUGGGGUAGUGGCUUACCAAGGCUUUGACGGGUAGCCGGCCUGAGAGGGUGACCGGCCACAUUGGGACUGAGAUACGGCCCAGACUCCUACGGGAGGCAGCAGUGGGGAAUAUUGCACAAUGGGCGGAAGCCUGAUGCAGCAACGCCGCGUGCGGGAUGACGGCCUUCGGGUUGUAAACCGCUUUCGCCUGUGACGAAGCGUGAGUGACGGUAAUGGGUAAAGAAGCACCGGCUAACUACGUG
rnacentral:rRNA from 1 species